UGCCUAAUACAUGCAAGUCGAACGAGAGCGACCGGUGCUUGCACUGGUCAAUCUAGUGGCGAACGGGUGAGUAACACGUGGGUAACCUGCCCAUCAGAGGGGGAUAACAUUCGGAAACGGAUGCUAAAACCGCAUAGGUCUUCGAACCGCAUGGUUUGAAGAGGAAAAGAGGCGCAAGCUUCUGCUGAUGGAUGGACCCGCGGUGCAUUAGCUAGUUGGUGAGGUAAUGGCUCACCAAGGCCGUGAUGCAUAGCCGACCUGAGAGGGUGAUCGGCCACAUUGGGACUGAGACACGGCCCAAACUCCUACGGGAGGCAGCAGUAGGGAAUCUUCCGCAAUGGACGCAAGUCUGACGGAGCAACGCCGCGUGAGUGAAGAAGGUUUUCGGAUCGUAAAACUCUGUUGUUAGAGAAGAACAAGUGCUAGAGUAACUGUUAGCGCCUUGACGGUAUCUAACCAGAAAGCCACGGCUAACUACGUGCCAGCAGCCGCGGUAAUACGUAGGUGGCAAGCGUUGUCCGGAUUUAUUGGGCGUAAAGCGAGCGCAGGCGGUUCCUUAAGUCUGAUGUGAAAGCCCCCGGCUCAACCGGGGAGGGUCAUUGGAAACUGGGGAACUUGAGUGCAGAAGAGGAGAGUGGAAUUCCAUGUGUAGCGGUGAAAUGCGUAGAUAUAUGGAGGAACACCAGUGGCGAAGGCGACUCUCUGGUCUGUAACUGACGCUGAGGCUCGAAA
rnacentral:rRNA from 1 species